CCAGGUCGUGUUUCUGAAAACCAAGCGCGGGUGUCCCUCAGGGGCAGGGAACCCGGGAACCCCCUGAAGGCCUUGCCCAAGCCAGAGAAAUCAUCUGUCUUCUGUUUGACAAAAAACUACAAGUUAACAUGGAGAUAAUGUCACAGACUCAGAGCUUUGAAUCAAUUGUCAACAGAAAGCUAUCCUAGGGCUUCCCUGGUGGCGCAGUGGUUGAGAGUCCGCCCGCCGAUGCAGGGGACGCGGGUUCGUGCCCCGGUCCGGGAAGAUCCCACGUGCCGCGGAGCGGCUGGGCCCGUGAGCCACGGCCGCUGAUCCUG